rnacentral:sRNA from 1 species
UAGCGUAUUAUAUCAAAUAGUUGUUUGUUUUAACUUCAAACACAAAUAUACUCCAGAAAAAUGUUUCAAAAAAGAUUCUUAGACGAUGAAGUAGAUCUGGCUACUCGAAAACACAUGAUCAUUGUUGCCUGGCUGAUAGUUGUGUCAGUUCUACUCUUUAUGCUGAUGACGCAAUUCGGAGUAAUCAAGGUUCGGCACAGAAGGGGAAUCGGAUCGACCCCCAGCCACCCGGAAUGAUUUCAUAAUAAAAUGCGUCAUUUCCCGAAACUAAUUGCCAUUGAAAUGAAACGAGAACGUCGAAAAUGUAUCUCAAGAUAUGCUGCCUGCCCAACUGCACUCCAAAACGAGUAAUCAAAAAUUUGGAAGAAAACAAAAAACCUCAAAAAUGUGAAUCACGGAAUUGAAUUGACGUUUUUGUCUAAAUAGUGGGCAAGGUCAAUUAGUUGAAACAAAAUAUAUAACAAUUAUAGAUUCAAGUUUUUAUAGAAA